AGCAGAGCUGCAGAAAAAGGAAGAAGAUUAGAAAAGCUGGUCCAGAGGAAGCAUUUCUUUUGGCAGCAAGGAUUCCAGUUCCCCAAGGGACAGUUUCCACUGACCACCUGUGAACACAGGUCUGCAGGAGCCCUGUGUGGUUGGGACGCAGAAGAUAUUUCAAGGGGUGAGGUCAUGCCCUACUCAAGCCUGCCAUGUGAGGUGGGUUUCACGAUCCUCUCUGGUGAGGUCUGCCGGCACACGGACUUGUACAAAAGGCCAACAGAAGAGCUGCAUGCCGGGCCAUAGCCGGGGAAGAUGGGAAGACAGUAUCCAAGACUGACCAACCUCCCUGACAGUUGAGCUUCCCUGAGGCUGUAACACAAGCAGAAACACCCAGCUGGGAACUGACUGCACAUUGGCUGGGGCUCUCUAAGUAGGCCUUGGGAAGGCCACAGAGGCCUAGAGGCACGGGAGGAGGCGAAGGUGAGGAGUGGGCGGAGCCACCAACCCUAUUUUCCUUUCUGAAUCUUCCAGGUGCUUGGGAGGGAUUUCCAGCUUGGCAUUCAUGCAACUGUCUGUGUGUGUUUCUCCACAGGUGUUUGUCUACGAGUAUGUUCCACCCAUGUGUCUGAUCAUGCCUGCAGGCCUCUGUCUCUAAACUCAUGCCCGUUCCUCCCAGAAACAUGACUACAGUCCCUACUUUGUGGGAGCAUUCUCACCUCAAAGCACUUACUAAAAUAAACCUGCUCCAAACACUUUAACAGCCAUCCCACCCCACCCCCCCCCCCCCCCCUUUCUGUCCACAGGCACUCACACCAGCGGGUCUCCACGGUCAAUUUAGGAAGCUUGGGAAAAUAUUGCUUAUAAUUGAAAGUCUAAAAGCGCCUCAAUUAGGGCAGUGUUCGGUCUGCCAGGCCUGGUCCCAGAUCCCACUCGGCAGCAUUCCUGUCCUGGCGGGAAAAGCCCUUUGAUUUGCACCAAAUGUUUCGUGGCCAGGCUGGAUGGCGUGUUGGCUCUGCUGGUCUUGCCAGCUGCCCAGGGCACUACUAACCAGCAUGAACCCUAAGGCCUGAGACCCAACCCAAGACAUGGUCUUUGUCAAUGUAGGCCCCAAUCUCCCAGGCUCCUGAGCUUGUAGCUCCGCCAUGGUUUUAAGCACCUCCUUUUGAAGGGCGAAGCCUUUCCAUCUUCAGGCAAGAUGGGGGCCUGAGUCCACUCUAGCAUCCCUCCUUGGCCAGAGGCCAGGCCUACUGAGGAUGAGACAAAGCGGUUCAUGCUCCAAGGGAGGCUGGAUUGGAGGGUGCAACAAUCAACACCCAGUUCUCCUCCUUACUUCCACACCCACCUUCAUCUGAGCAGAGAGGCCUGCCCGGCGCUAUAGCCACCUCAGAGAAUGCAGGAGGAGGUCUCCAGCUUGGAGCAGAAGGGCUGGCUGGGGCGGGAACAGGGUGGGGUGAGGUGGGCAUAGGCUCAGCACCUGACCUUGUACCCUCUGGGAUUGCAAUGUACAGCUUAGCUAACGCCAAGUUCCGGUACUCUUGUGUUUGUGAGGGGGAAUCUGCUGAGGGCAGAAACAUGGAGCAGAGGGUGCGAUCUCUUCCUGGAGUGAAGGCUCAAAAGGAUGCUGGCACUGGGCCAUUGAGAUGGCUUAUCAGGGAAUGGAGAUUGCUGUGCAAACCUGGCAACCCGAGACCAAUCUCUGGAACCCAUGAGAAGAAGGUGGAGGAGAGAUCCAGCAACACAGCUUUGUUCUCUGACUGACCGCCAUGUGUGUUGUGGCAUGUGCACCCAGCCACACCCAAAAAGAAAUGAAUGAAAGAACAACACCCCGAACUCAGGACUGGGUUGUGUGUUACAAAGGGCCAGAUGCCUGGCGACAAGGCCUGCCAGAGGACUGCCCUGAAUGGGACCGCAAAAGAAGUCUUAAAGGUGUGAGACCUGUCACCAGAUUCUCCUGAAGAACGUGCAGGGCUGGGAGGAACUGUAAAGACUCUAUAGAGUGAGCGGACAUGGCCUUUAUCUCCCUCGAAUCUCCUCAUGUCUCCCCUCGGGCCAGUGGCCACCUGCUAGAAGCCUGUUCUGUUGCACAGGUCUGUGCCCUCCAACAUCCCCUUUGAGUCCUAGCCCAGUACACCCUCACCUCACUUUCUCUCGUGGCCCGUGGCCCUCUCUUUGCUUCCCUCCUCAGACUGCGCAGUGAUUGUGAAGUAUGGACAGAGAGACUCAAGCUCAAGCCCGGAGCCCGGCCGUGAGCCUGCCCAUCUAGAUAGAAUGAUCACACGCCAGUUCUGAGUGACAGAGGAGCACAUGAGGCAUACAGCACAGGGCCGCCUAAUGGGACAGCGGGGGAGCUCUAACCCAGAGCAGUUCUGACCUCACGCCUAGCCUCCAGGUGUGCCUCAUCUCCUCCUCUUGGGCUCCAGGGACAGAGUUCAAAAGGCAGAGUGCCCCACUCCCAACCCAACUACCGCCCCCACGAACCGGAAGACGGGAGCUCUUGGCCCAAGAUGAAUUCUGAAGGCCCCUGGCUGUCGUCCCCACCAGAUUGACUAGCAAUCCCGUGGACCCUGCCACGUCUCCCACGGCAAAGUUUGGUGCUGGAACGGAGGAAGGAACGGACGUAGCAAACAGGAGUGGGUUUGGAUUGAGUCACGACACGCUGGUGUGCAAGAUAGCUCUCCUUGAGAUUCCAGACACACCUUUGUUCCUCCUGCCUUGGGCUUCCUUAGAACUGCGAUUUAAGGUGAAAACUGUGGUUUCUGAACCCGGCUCUCAGAGCCUACCUGUCUUAGAGGGAAACCAGAGCCCCAGCAGCAAACCCCUUUGUAUACCCAUGUGCACAGUUGCUCCUUGGUGCUCCAUGCAUGCACUCUAGAGGAGUUACCAUGCCUCUCUCCACUCAAGCCUGCCAGCUCCCACAGACCUCCUCUGCAGACUCUUCAAGGUGACCUCUGUCUGGAGAUGAGGACAAUGUGCCUGUCUGUUUUUCAAAUAUUUGGAGCCUGCUAAAGACCAACACAUUUUUUAAAGUGUGUAUAAUUUGAGGGCAAUUUGAUCCAUAUGUUUCUGAUUCCCUUGCACUCAAAUCAUCAAAAUAUUGAUUUUUAAGAGCCAUUUGAUGUCUAAGGAACCUUUUUAAUAAGCUUUUAAAGCUCUUUAAACCCGGAGCCUGGAGCCGGUGCCAGGGCCCCAGCUGUCCCAGGGCCAGAGCACGCCACCCCCCUCCCCCAGGUCAGAGCCAUUUGGACCUGAGUCUCCCUUCUCUUCUGCAUGCCCAACCUUUGCCUGACCUCCCUGUCUCCCCUAGAACUACCCACAGGCCCCAGUGACUUCCCUCCACCAUCCCCCGCCGCCACCUUUCUCUUCAUAGACUUCCUUCACACUUCAAUGCAACUGUGAGACACAGACCAAGGGGACAGCCAUGGUAUUUAUUUAUUUUUGAAACUACAUAGCAUUUUAUUGUAGAAUGUGCUAGGAUGGGUCCAAUCAACCCUACUGAGGGAUGUCCAGGCCAUGUCCCAUUGUAUACCUCUGUGCGUGUUCCUGAUUAUAUCUUUUGGAUACAUUUCUAGAAAUAAAAACACUGGGUCAAAGAGGACACA